UACGUAGGGACCGAGCGUUGUCCGGAUUCAUUGGGCGUAAAGAGCUCGUAGGCGGCUGUUCAAGUCGAACGUGAAAACUCGGAGCUCAACUCCGAGCCUGCGUUCGAUACUGGACGGCUAGAGUCUGGUAGGGGGAUCUGGAAUUCCUGGUGUGAGCGGUGGAAUGCGCAGAUAUCAGGAGGAACACCGGUGGCGAAGGCGGGUCUCUGGGCCGAUACUGACGCUGAGGAGCGAAAGCAUGGGGAGCGAACAGG
rnacentral:rRNA from 1 species